AUAUCAAUAAGCGGGGAAAAGGAAACCAACAGGGAUUGCCUCAGUACCGGGCGAGUGAAGCGGCAAGAGCUCAGAUUUGAAAUCUCACCUAGUGUGCGAGUUGUAAAUUGCAGGUUGGAGUCUCGGGUUAGACGUGUGUGCAAGUCCCUUGGAACAGGGUCCCACUGAGGGUGAGAGCCCCGUAGCGUGCAUGUCGACACCUGUGAGGCCCUUCUGACGAGUCGAGUUGUUUGGGAAUGCAGCUCUAAGUGGGUGGUAAAUUCCAUCUAAGGCUAAAUAUUGGCGAGAGACCGAUAGCGAACAAGUACUGUGAAGGAAAGAUGAAAAGCACUUUGAAAAGAGAGUGAAACAGCACGUGAAAUUGUUGAAAGGGAAGGGUAUUGGGCUCGACAUGGGAUUUACGCAUCGUUGCCUCUCGUGGGCGGCGCUCUGGGUUUUUCCUGGGCCAGCAUCGGUUUUCGUUGCAGGAUAAGGACAAUUGGAAUGUGGCUCCUCGGAGUGUUAUAGCCUUUUGUAGAUGCUGCGUAUGGGGACCGAGGGCUGCGGCGGACUCGUUUCGUCUCGGAUGCUGGCACAACGGCAGGA
rnacentral:rRNA from 1 species